AGAAGAGGGAGAGAUGGAACGGGACAGAGCGGAGCAGUGUUAUGAUUGAACCCCAAUUGUACCAGCCGACCAUGGCACUCUCGUGAGAAUGGACAUAAGGGUGAAUGGCCAUAAAAUUAAAGGCAACCCAGUUUCCAUCUUCCAUGUCCGUAUCCUAUGCACCCUUUUUUAACAUGUACUAUCUUAUCCUACGCUCCUCCUCCCUCCCAGUCCACUCUCUAGUCUCCCCCUCGUAGGGGACCCCCCACUCUGUUUUUGCAACCAAAAUCACAACCUUCACUAAUGACCGUUAAUACACGUUGUGGCAGUCUCCGGAAUUGCCUGUGACCCAUCUUGUCCCAUAUGGUGUUUUUAUCACCCCUAGACCUGGUUGUCGCCCCCUGAUCUUCUUGGAGUUGGGCUUUCCCUUGAUGAAAUUUCGACUCCCAUUUGCGUUUACUCGUUGUAAUUCUCAAAUUCAUUCUCAAAUCAGAUCUGGGUCUCUGUAAAGAUGUGUUUUUUUUCGGUUUUCUUUUUAUUUUUUUUCAUGGGUGUAUAUUUUACCUUUUUUGUGCUGCCGUGGUAAUCUACUUUGUGGUUGUUGCGCAUCUGUGGCAGAUGUAUUGCAGAGAAAAGGAUCUUCUUUUUGAACGACUGGUUUUGUUCUUUGAAUGUGGGAUACAUGAGAGUCAAGGCUGUCAAAUGUUGCUUUAUGGAUGUGAAAAAAUCCAUCAAUGUGGCCUGAGUUCGAUAGUUUGAAUGGAUGUAUGUGAACCAGAGAAGCACGCAGCAGUGGACACCCCAAGACCUCCCUUGUCUCCAACUGAAAGGAACAAUGCAGUCACUACGCGGCGCCCUCGAACGAGGGAAGUUAGUUCCAGGUACAAAUCUCCUUCUCCUUCAACCGCUUCAAAUAGCAGGCGUAGCCCCUCUCCUAACCUCACAACAAUAGUGCCUUCAAAUCCCCGAUUGGUGCCAAAGAGAGCCGUAUCAGCCGAAAGGAAGCGGCCCUCCACACCACCCUCACCGCAGAGGCCGUCGACACCAAUUCGUGAUUCAUCUGUAGAUUCCCAAUUGUCAUCACGAAGGAUGUCAAUUGGCGAUGGCCGGUUACCUGAGAGCUUAUGGCCCUCCACAAUGCAAAGUCUUAGUUUUUCCUUCCAAUCUGAUUGCAUUUCUAUUCCUGUCAGCAAGAAGGAAAAAUCAGUUAACAGUGCUUCCUCAGAUCGCACUUUGAGGUCAUCUUCAAAUGUAGGGCAUAAGCAGGCUGAAACACCUUCCCGGGCACGCAAGCCUACUCCAGAGAGAAAGAGGAGUCCUCUUAAAGGGAGAAAUUCACAUGAUCAGUCUGAGAAUGCCAAACCAGUUUAUGGAUUACAUUCUCGAUUGAUAGAUCAGCAACGAUGGCCGAGUAGAAUAGGUGGUAAGGUAUCCUCUAGUUUUUUGAAUAAAAGUGUUGAUUUUACCGAAAAAUCAGUUGGAAAUUCAGCCAUCCCCGGCCUGGGAAUUGGGUUGUCUUCAUUGAGGCGAACCCCCACAACUGACAGUUUGGGGAACCCAUUAAAAAAAUCUGUCAGUGAUGCUGGUGCGAGGUUAUUAUCGCUUCAUGAUAUUGGUAGAGUAGGGUCUCAGGCGAAAUCAAUUGAUGACAGUUCAUUGCGGUUAUCUGGACUUCACAAGUUUGUUUCUCCUAGUUUGUCAGAUAGAACAAUAUUAGCUACCCCUGCUGCGAAAUCUCAGUCAUUGCCUACUACACGGUCUCGACCUGUAUCCCCAAGUAGGACAUCCGGAGUUUCAUCCUCUGUUGUGAAAGGUGUUAGUCCAUCUAGGGCAAGACCAUCAGAUCCUCCAUCUAGAGGAGUUAGUCCAUCUCGGAUAAGACCAUCUAGUUCUUCUGGUAAGGCCCCAAAUUCAACUGCUGUGCUCAGUUUCAUAGCAGAUUUGAAGAAAGGAAAAAAGUGUGCGAGCUACAUAGAAGAUGCCCAUCAUCUACGGCUGAUGUACAAUAGAUAUUUGCAAUGGAGGUUUGCUAAUGCUCGAACAGAGGCAGUUCUUUACGUUCAGAAGAUUAAUGUAGAGGAAACUCUGUACAACGUUUGGAACACUACUCUAACUCUAUGGGAUUCAAUAAUCAGGAAAAGAAUCAACCUCCAAGAGCUGAAGCUAGGGCUUAAGUUGAAUUCGGUUUUGAAUGAUCAAGUGGCAUCGAUGCAAAGAUUUUGUUUAGGAUUUUAACUUCUUUGAAAAGGGCAAUGAAUUUAUAUAUGUGAAGUUCCUUCAUGCCGUUUUAUGAUCUGGACACGUGGUGAAAGCAAUUCUCUUUUGGUCAUUAUUUAAGCAUUGGAGACAUGGAAGAUUUUGGUCUACAAAAUCAGCUACCUUGAUGACUGGGGCUUGCUUGAAAGAGAGCAUAUUAAGUCUUUAUCUGGGGCUGUGGAUGACUUGGAAGCAAUCACCCUAAGACUUCCAGUGACUGGAGGAGCAACGGCUGAUAUUGAAUCUUUGAAGAUUGCUUCUGCUCAGCUGUUGAUGUCAUGCAGACUAUGGGGUCUUCAAUUCGCUCAUUACUUUCAAGGAUACAUUGCAUGGUCGU